CGGAGCUGUCAAAGGCUGGUCCCAGAGCCAGAGCCCAAUUUGUUCAGUCGGCUAGUGUACUCCGUAGCAUCAACAUCUACUACAAAAAGCCAAGUAAAUGGCAGUCCCUGUGGCGGCCGAAAAUCCAAGGCGUGGGAUUUUCGGAAGAGGCCAGGGGACCAGUGUACCCGACACGUUCGCAGCUUCACGGGGGUUCUCGUCGCCUACAAACAUCAACACCAGUUAAAUGGAUAUGCGUCUGAUUUUACCAUACACGAACACUUCGCUGGACUGCAUACACUCUGAACUGCCCAAUAACCAUCCACCCCAUCAUAAUCAUAUCCUCAACUAAGAGAAAAAAAUACCACAAGAUGCUAUAGUUACGAACGUUCAUUUAGUAUUCAUAACUUCAAAAACAAUGGAAAACGAAUAGUACAACACGAAGGCCUGAAUAGUCACAACACUACAAGUUAUAAUACAAGGAAACCAUAGCACAGAGGCUAAACUCGGCGAAAUGAAGACAAAACUGUUGAAUUUUGGACUACUCUUAUACAAGGAAAGUAACACAGGAUGCUCUGGAACAGAACACUCGAACCUGGAAUACAAGGAUACUAUGGUAUGGUACUGCUUAAGGCGGAUCGGAACACGAAACUAGAGAUUGCUGUGACUAGAUGUGGCUCUCCUCUCCGUCGGGGGUUACUUGCUACGUACACCACAAUCCACUUUGUUUAGUUUAAGAGCUGUGCGUUAAUAAAACGUAAACGUCA